rnacentral:rRNA from 1 species
AUUGAACGCUGGCGGCAGGCCUAACACAUGCAAGUCGAACGGUAACAGGAAGCAGCUUGCUGCUUUGCUGACGAGUGGCGGACGGGUGAGUAAUGUCUGGGAAACUGCCCGAUGGAGGGGGAUAACUACUGGAAACGGUAGCUAAUACCGCAUAACGUCGCAAGACCAAAGAGGGGGACCUUAGGGCCUCUUGCCACCGGAUGUGCCCAGAUGGGAUUAGCUAGUAGGUGGGGUAACGGCUCACCUAGGCGACGAUCCCUAACUGGUCUGAGAGGAUGACCAGCCACACUGGAACUGAGACACGGUCCAGACUCCUACGGGAGGCAGCAGUGGGGAAUAUUGCACAAUGGGCGCAAGCCUGAUGCAGCCAUGCCGCGUGUAUGAAGAAGGCCUUCGGGUUGUAAAGUACUUUCAGCGGGGAGGAAGGGAGUAAAGUUAAUACCUUUGCUCAUUGACGUUACCCGCAGAAGAAGCACCGGCUAACUCCGUG